GAUGAACGCUGGCGGCGUGCCUAAUACAUGCAAGUCGAGCGAACAGAUAAGGAGCUUGCUCCUUUGACGUUAGCGGCGGACGGGUGAGUAACACGUGGGUAACCUACCUAUAAGACUGGGAUAACUUCGGGAAACCGGAGCUAAUACCGGAUAAUAUUUCGAACCGCAUGGUUCGAUAGUGAAAGAUGGCCCUGCUAUCACUUAUAGAUGGACCUGCGCCGUAUUAGCUAGUUGGUAAGGUAACGGCUUACCAAGGCAACGAUACGUAGCCGACCUGAGAGGGUGAUCGGCCACACUGGAACUGAGACACGGUCCAGACUCCUACGGGAGGCAGCAGUAGGGAAUCUUCCGCAAUGGGCGAAAGCCUGACGGAGCAACGCCGCGUGAGUGAUGAAGGUCUUCGGAUCGUAAAACUCUGUUAUUAGGGAAGAACAAACGUGUAAGUAACUGUGCACGUCUUGAUGGUACCUAAUUAGAAAGCCACGGCUAACUACGUGCCAGCAGCCGCGGUAAUACGUAGGUGGCAAGCGUUAUCCGGAAUUAUUGGGCGUAAAGCGCGCGUAGGCGGUUUUUUAAGUCUGAUGUGAAAGCCCACGGCUCAACCGUGGAGGGUCAUUGGAAACUGGAAAACUUGAGUGCAGAAGAGGAAAGUGGAAUUCCAUGUGUAGCGGUGAAAUGCGCAGAGAUAUGGAGGAACACCAGUGGCGAAGGCGACUUUCUGGUCUGUAACUGACGCUGAUGUGCGAAAGCGUGGGGAUCAAACAGGAUUAGAUACCCUGGUAGUCCACGCCGUAAACGAUGAGUGCUAAGUGUUAGGGGGUUUCCGCCCCUUAGUGCUGCAGCUAACGCAUUAAGCACUCCGCCUGGGGAGUACGACCGCAAGGUUGAAACUCAAAGGAAUUGACGGGGACCCGCACAAGCGGUGGAGCAUGUGGUUUAAUUCGAAGCAACGCGAAGAACCUUACCAAAUCUUGACAUCCUUUGACCCUUCUAGAGAUAGAAGUUUCCCCUUCGGGGGACAAAGUGACAGGUGGUGCAUGGUUGUCGUCAGCUCGUGUCGUGAGAUGUUGGGUUAAGUCCCGCAACGAGCGCAACCCUUAAGCUUAGUUGCCAUCAUUAAGUUGGGCACUCUAAGUUGACUGCCGGUGACAAACCGGAGGAAGGUGGGGAUGACGUCAAAUCAUCAUGCCCCUUAUGAUUUGGGCUACACACGUGCUACAAUGGACAAUACAAAGGGCAGCGAAACCGCGAGGUCAAGCAAAUCCCAUAAAGUUGUUCUCAGUUCGGAUUGUAGUCUGCAACUCGACUACAUGAAGCUGGAAUCGCUAGUAAUCGUAGAUCAGCAUGCUACGGUGAAUACGUUCCCGGGUCU
rnacentral:rRNA from 1 species